AGAUGUGUUCGUAGAGUAGCGAACAGGGUAAAAUAAAGAAAUACUCAAAGAGA
rnacentral:sRNA from 12 species